rnacentral:rRNA from 1 species
UACGUAGGGGGCGAGCGUUGUCCGGAUUUAUUGGGCGUAAAGAGCGUGUAGGCGGUUCGGUAAGUCUGUCGUGAAAUCCUGAGGCUCAACCUCGGGCGUGCGAUGGAUACUGCCGGGCUAGAGGGUGGUAGAGGCGAGUGGAAUUCCUGGUGUAGCGGUGAAAUGCGCAGAUAUCAGGAGGAACACCGAUUGCGAAGGCAGCUCGCUGGGACGUAACUGACGCUGAGACGCGAAAGCGUGGGGAGCAAACAGG